CGCACCAUUUGAGGGGGAGGUGGUAAGUUGCAUUGGAGACUCGAAGUUGGGGGUGGCGAAAGAACAAGCUGUCAAGAGAAGGUAACAACACUGCGUUCAAGGGACAAACAACCUAUAGGGAAAAGGCUAUUCGAUUAAUCACGGUGGCCGAAGCCGAAGUUGGAAAUGGAUGGAAUUUAUGGAUGGGAACAGCCCCCUUUGAACCAAGGUAAUCCCUUCAUAGAGAUCAUUGAACAGCCCAAGCAGAGGGGCAUGAGGUUCAGGUACAAAUGUGAGGGGCGCUCUGCGGGAAGCACCCCGGGAGAGAAGAGCAAUGACACCACCAAGACACACCCCGCCAUUAAGGUGCACAACUACAAUGGCCCCUGCGUGUCCGCGUCUCCUUGGUGACCAAGAACCCACCUCACAAGCCCCACCCCCACGAACUGGUGGGGAAAGACUGCAAACAUGGCUACUAUGAGGCAGACCUGCAGGAGAGACGAGUACACAGUUUUCAGAACCUGGGCAUUCAGUGUGUGAAGAAAAAGGAUGUGGCCGAGGCAGUUUCCUGUAGGCUGCAGACCCAAAACAACCCCUUCAACAUUCCUGAGGCGAACGUGUGGGAGGAGUUUGACCUAAAUGCAGUGAGGCUGUGUUUCCAGGCCUCGAUCACUCUGCCUACCGGGGAACUCUUCGCUCUAGAGCCCGUGGUGUCCCAGCCCAUCUACGACAACAGAGCACCCAACACAGCAGAACUGAAGAUCUGUCGAGUGAACAGAAACUCUGGAAGCUGCAGAGGGGGGGAUGAGAUCUUCUUACUUUGUGACAAAGUGCAAAAAGAGGACAUUGAGGUGCGGUUCUUCCAGGAUGCGUGGGAGGGGAAGGGCACCUUCUCCCAGGCGGAUGUCCACAGGCAGGUGGCCAUUGUGUUCCGCACCCCUCCCUACUGCGACACCAACCUGACCGAGCCAAUCCGAGUGAAGAUGCAGCUCCGCAGGCCCUCGGACCGUGAGGUCAGCGAGCCAAUGGACUUCCAGUUCCUGCCCUCCGACCCAGAUGAAUAUAAACUGAUGGAGAAGAGAAAACGGACAGAAGGAAUGUUACAGAAUCUGAAGCUGGGGUCCCUGAUGUCAGGGGCCAUGCCAGCAGAGACGAGGCCUUUCAACAUUGCCAGGAGAACAGUCACCGCUAAGCCAGCAGCUAGCCAGCCUGUGAUGAACCAAGUGGCGCCCCCUAGUGCUGUCUCUGUGAAGCCCCAGCCCUACUACAACGGUCCCCAGCCAGGCCAGUUGUUUCAAACCCAGCCCAAAGCAGAAGCCUCCACCACAGCCGAGACCUGGAAGUUCCUCAACAGCCUGACCCUGGACUCCCAGCCCAAAGCCACCCCCGUGGCCAGCUUCAUCACCAACCCCCAGGCCUCUGUAGCCACAGCCGCCUCUUCCCAGGACUUUCCCACCGUAAACCUGUUGGACCUCCACGGAUACGCUUUCCACACCUUUGCUAGUCCCCAGGAGCCGGUGAGUGCAGCUGCUACCACAGAGCCCACCUCUACCUUCGGGGUCCAAGGCUCCCAGUUCAAGGUGGACGAGGAGCUACCCGAAUUCCCCAGCUUUGAGGCACAACCGACCGGGACUCUAGAUAGUAUAAACUUCGACGACUUCCAGGCUAUGCUGGGCCAGAGUUGUCUGGCUGGAGAAGGGCCAAAGAGCAGUGAGGCGUCAGCCCCUCAGGCACCCUGCCACUUACCUUCCACCAACACUGUGGCCAACAACGCGGCCCAGAACCAAGCAGACCCAGCCAACCACCACAUCAGCUGUGGCGGCAGCACCUGGAUGAACUACCCCAACAGCAUUGUCAACCUGCUCCAGAACGAGGGCAUGAUGGACAGUUCCCCCGGCAACGCCAGCCAGCCGGCCGCCCUUGACGACCUGGACGUCUUAAGCUCCAUGGAUGAAGACCAUCUCAUGUCCAUCCUGAGCAGUGGCAACCAAUACACUUUUGUGUCCGGACAUCAGACCUAAGAGACAACCGUGUGAUUUGACUGACAUGUUUACUGACAUAAUCCCCCUGGUAGACUACUUUUAUCUCUUCCCUCGCCCUUGAGACCCUGGGCCCGGUUGCGUAAAACAACUUAAGUUAAUUUUCCACUCAUAUUUUCCUGUAACUUUAAGUCAGUUGCACAAAAUUUGUGAAUUUUAAAUUAAGUACAAAAGUUAAAGGUGUCCAUGAGGUCCCUUAAAUGCCUCAUUAUGUAUGGAUAUCAAUGUAAACAGCAUUUGUAGAGGUCAAUGUUGAUUUUAAUCUGCUCUGGUUACAAAAGGAAAACGUCAACCAGCUAGCUACUUAGCUAAACAAUGGAAGGUGCACGAUCCAUGGCUACAAAGCUAGCUGGCUAGUUAGCUACAGCUACUCUGUAAGCUAGCUUGACGUACUAGGAAGUAAUAUAAACAAGUUGAGAAAAAAGUAACUACAAGAAAAGUGGUUUAUUAUCUGAAGCAAUUUGGUUAUCCUGUCUUGAUUGUAGAAGUUCUAUUUUGCUAUCUCACAAAAUGAAAGCGAUCUCUUUGAAGAGACAUUCAGUCAGUGAAUCAGGCCAUCUCCAUGGUAACCAGAUACUCUUUCUGCCAUAUGUGCCUUCAAACUACCGUAAAAUCCCUUAAGUAUGCCCUUACCUAAGGAAAUAUUUGAGUGGCUCUAUGCAUCGCCCUUAAACAAUUCCCUUAGGUAAGGGAAAAUUAUUCCAUAAGGUCAACCCUUACGGGAAACACUUAAGAUGUUUUAUAUGAAACGGGCCCAGCUCCCUUCCAACCUCCCUUUGUACUUGCUAUUCUAAAGGGCUUCAAAGGAGAGUCAUUUGAAGACUGGCAAAAAGGAGAGUCCGAAAGUGGUGCUUUCUGCUCUCUUCUCUAUGUGGAUUGUGGACAUGCUUAUUAGGACAGCUGCAGAACCCUGCCUGUACAGAAUUAACAGAGUGAAUAGAAGGGAGAGCUACAGGGAAGUAGCCAGUUUGUAUCUGCCAGUAUGUGGGCAAUUGCAACACCCGAGGAUGAACUGGAUGAGCUGAAUCGUCCCUUUUCGUCACCCCUAAAGAUACACAACCCACUGGGUUGUGUAUAAACCCAGGCUUGUUUCUAAUCUCCAAAGGCAGUGGUCUUCCCUUCUGGUCCCAAAGAGCUUCAGGGUUUCUAAAUGUCUCUACUUCAAUCGUUCAGUUAAAGAAUACGACUAAAUCAAAUCAAACUUUAAAAGUUUGAUUUAGUCCUAUCUUCCUCUAAAUAUCAUUACAUUUUUAAUCAACCAGAGCUUGAAGCCCUAGGCCUAUUGUAUUGUCUAUUUUUAGUUGCAUCCUUGGUUUAAUUGAAACAAUAGCUGUUGAUGACUUUGCAGAUGCUAUAUAGGCCUAAAUAGCGUCAUUGAUGAUAAAAGCGAUAAAGUAUGGUCACAUUUAAUUUGCUGUGUUAAACCUACUCUUUGGAAUGACGUAUAGCAACAGUGAAUCUAUUUAGUUUUAAAGUGGAGAUCUCCCAACGAUCAUUCUCACGAUAGCACAUUGGUAAUAGUCAGUGUCAAAUAUCAUACGAUAGCACAUUGGUAAUAGUCAGUGUCAAAUAUCAUACGAUAGCACAUUGGUAAUAGUCGGUGUCAAAUAUCAUAGCUAAUCAGGGCUGGGCUUGGUUAAAACCCUGGAUGGGAGACCAAAGGAUAGCUGUAGAUGGAUCAAUUCUCCAGUAGGAGGUGCUGUCCACCCUGUUUUUUUCUUAUACGUUAAAGAUCUGACAUUGGUUUAACUUCAACAUUUUAUACAAGGUUUGUAUAUGUUGAAAUUUGGUUACCAUGAUGACAUAAUCCUGUGGUUAAAAUGUUGUUGAUUCAACCAGUUUGUGCCCUGUGGGUAUUGACUGAAUAGUCGAGGUGUGGAGAAAUUGCUGAGCCAACAGACCAGGAGUUGAACCUGCCAACCAAUCAGUUGAUCACAAAAUGUGACCAUUAUUCUAUUAUGGGGAGUAGGGUGAGUUUUGCAUUUUCCCCACUUACAGUUGAGUGAGUAUACUAAAGUAGUGGAAUAUCACCAAAAAGCAAGAUUGUAAUUUCAUUGUGCAUAAGCCUUAGUUGAUGAUAUACACUGAGUAUACAAAACAUUAGGAACACCUUCCUAAUAUUGAGUUGCACCCCCCCCUUUUACCCUCGGAACAGCCACAAUUUGUCAGGGCAUGGACUCCACAGGUGUUCCACAGGGAUGCUGGCCCAUGUUCCAAUGCUUCCCACAGUUGUCAAGUUGGCUGGAGGUCUUUUGGGUGGUGGACCAUUCUUGUUACACAUGGGGAAACUGUUGAGCGUGAAAAACCUGCAGCAUUGCAUUUCUUGACACAAACCGGUGUGACUGGCACCAUAACACAUUCAAAGGCGCUUACAUUUUGUCUUGCCCAUUCACCCUCUGAAUGGCACACACACACACAAUCCAUGUCUCAAUGCUUAAAAAUCCUUCUUUAACCCGUCUCCUCCCCUUCAUCUACACUGAUUUUUUUAAAUUGGAUUUAACAGGUGACAUUAAUACGGGAUCUUCGGUUUCACCUGAUCUGUCUCGUGUCAUGGAAAGAGCCGGUGUUCUUAAUGUUUUGUAUACUCUGUGUACGUGACCUAUAGUACUCACCUUGAUGACAUAUCUUAAUGUUAUGUACAGCUUUACCAUGUCAACACCUGCAAGUAUAACUUGUCAUUUUAGGUUCAAAUGUUCAAUACAUCUUUGGAACAGGAAGGAUAUUGCUGUUUAUAAAUGUACAAUAUGUUAGAAUGUAGCAGAUUCAUUGUUAAUAUCAGUUAAAAAGACUUAUUCCAUAUCAUGUUAGUAGUUUUGAGUCAGUAUCUCAAUAUAUUUCUGUCCAUCACUAUGUCAAUUAUGCUUAUUCACAGUGCGGUUUGCAUUUAGACCCAUGUACUAUUAUUACAUUUUGCUGUAUGGUAUAUGAACAUCAGUGGCAGUUUAUUUUACAUUGUCAAUUAGGACAUGUUUAAACCAUAACUUUGUACUUAUUCAAUGCUGCCUUAAUGAAAAUGGAAAAUGUUAUAUUUUGUACAAGUAUACAGUACCAGUCAAAAGUUUGGACACAA